GGGCGGAGCCUGUGACUAUAAAGAGGGCUCUGCACAGCAGGGAGCCAGUCUGAGUGUAGAUUCCCAACAUGUCUCACUGAAGGUGAGGACUUUUGAGCUGCUAUGACGCUGUGCCACGAUGAAGAUCCUGGGAGGCGAUGACAGUGUGAAAGCCACAAAGGCCUGUCGGAGACAUGAAGGUGGAAAAUAACUCACUGGCUUUAUGGCUCAAUCACACAUAAUCAGUUCGUCCACAUCAGGUCACUGCAGGCUCAGUUCCCCUACCUGAGGGAGAAAAUAUUGACCUUUCUCCCUAAUACAUACAUUUACCUUUUGAGCAUGUUGUAUACAGAUAAAGGGAGUUUGAGCCACAUUUUCUUCUCAUUAUUCCUCUAUUAUUAAAUAAUGUAAACAAUUCACCUUUAAUGAAAAAAAGUGUUACUGUCAGUUCAUAUAAUGCCCUUGCCAGGGUGGGUUUUUUUGUCAGAAAUUUGGCAGGUUAUCAUUGGAUAUGCUUCUUCUGUGUGCUCUUCAUAUUUUGAAACCAUUAUGCAGACCAAUGGUAAACCACAUUUCGUCAGAGUUUGUAAUCUUCCUCUCUUACAUUCAUCACAAACAACCAGGCAGGAAGCCGCUUCAGUGGAGGGAACUGGGAAGAAAGUCAGAAAAAACACCACAACAGUUUGGUUCAGUUGUACAAAACUGACAGAGACAAAUUAGAGCUUAAAAAUAGACUAUCGGUAAUAUUUUUACUGUUUAGGUUAACUUCGAGUAAAACGCUUAAAGGACAAAUAUCCCACAUGAACAGUCAUUACACCCAAAUAUGUGCCUGCUGAUAUCCAUAGAUUGAUUCAUUAAGUAUAAAAUUUCCUCCAAAUGUUCCUUCUGCAGGAUUUUUAUCCAUGAAAAUUAGCUGCAGCGAGGAGUCAUUUUUUUCUCAGUGCCUGAGCCAAAUCAAUAUCAGAUUGUGUGUCAGAAAUUUACAUUCCCUUUCUGCCAAAAAAUGUGUAGCAUUAGUUUGAGGCAACAUAUGGGGCAACUUGAAAUAUUGUGAAAAAAACUAAACAGAAAACCAAAAAAAAAAAAGAGUUGAUCACAAAAUUAUUAAUUGGUCUGGCUUUUAAACCGGGAGCUGGACCAGACGACGAAUCAAUACUUAAUUUUUUAGCAAGGUCUACUUCUUCAUCAGUCAGAACACUGUCACCAAAGAACAUAUCAAUUUAAUCAGCAUAUGCUUUCUCUUUUCUUUAAUGUCUUAAGCAUCUAAUGAUACAAAAUACUUAGUGAGGUAAAUUCAUAUUUCACAUACAUAAAAUUUUAUUCUUUGACCACUUGCACAGAUAUAAUACAAUAUAUGACAGACUGUUUACACCUGAAUGUGGUCAGCUUCCACUGACCUGUUCAUACUUUACGUAACCACCGUGACUAGAAGAGUAAAGAAACAUAUUGAUUUGAGCCUUUCCAACAAUACAUUCAGACGAAGAGGAGUCAGUCCGACAAGUCAGAGUUUGUUAAAAUACAGAUUUUAUUUUGAAAUGAAAAUAGCAAUAUACAUCUGUUUUGCCGAAACCAGUCAUCACUCAUUUGUUUUGAGUGUGCAAGCAUUUCCUUCCACUUCUGCAGCACCUGCGUGAGCACCGUGCUCCCAGCUCAAUUAUUGGAUGUCUACUUGCUCUGUGAAAACCCUCGGCUGAUGGAAAAUAGCUUCUGCCUGCAUUUUUUUCCUACCCACUCAACGGUAGAAACUGGCUGGGAGCAGAACAAUUAUCUGACACAACAAAAAUGUUGCUGUAGUGCUCAAAUUUGCUCUGAGGUCCAUCAGGGCUUUGAAAUAAAGGCCAGAGCUCUUUCUUCUUUACAAACUAUAUUGGCAUGAAUUCUGGGAAGGUCCUGUGGUCCUGUUCUGCGUAAUGCCAGAGUUUGACUGAUUUGUAACGGCCUUUAACCUCUGUGCUCCUCUGUUUUUCUUCAGCAGCCUUUUGGCUGCGGAUGUAUUUCCUCUUAGUGUAAUACAUCCACGUAUCUGGAAUAAUAACGUCAAAAGUACUCAUACCCUGUAUAAACACACAUUCACAAGAAGGCUAAAUUAUGCAUAUAAACUCUCACAUAUGUGCAUAUAACAUUUAGCUGUUAUAAAUUAACACCAUGCAAAUAGUCAUUCACACAAAAAUCAUGUACAUAGCUCACGCAGAUCUGCUAGGAACUCAAAGCUUGAUUAAUGCUCUGUAGGUGGUCAUCGCUUUUUAUCUACAAGCAACUGUACCGCUAACAUUAGCAUCUAAAAGCUAACUGGAGAAGCUUUGUUCUACUUUCAGGAUGUGGUUGCAUGGUAAACACUGUCCAUGGAGAAAUAUGGCGCCUGUAACCACUAGCACCUUCUGGCUCACAUUUGUACGGUAUUUGAUGUCACUUUAUGGCAUACGUUAAUACUUUAGAGUUAUAGCUCUACAUAUCUGCUAAACUGGCAAUGUAAUACUGCAAACACACACUGUUUUGGAGGUGCUGGGUCACACUGAGUAACACUGAUCCAUUAUGAAGUGAUGGAAAUGUGGCUUCACUUGGUUGUUUGUUGGCUUGUUUUUGCAUUGAUUGUAGCGGCACAUGGUUGGCACUUUUUCUACAUACAGUUUAAGGUGCCUUGCAAAAAGUCUUACCCCUUUGACUAGUUUUUAAAAAAAUUUUUUUUACAUUUUGUCAUAUUAAAAGCACAAACUUCAAUCUGUUUAUUGAUAUUUUAUGUGGCAAAUCAACCAAAAUUGUUGAUGAGACAUGUUGUCUUUUAAUUUUGCGAAUUAAAAAAAAUCUGAAGUUUGUAUUAUGCAUCUUCAUUCUCCUUAGUUUCUGAUACCCAUAAAUAAAAUCCAGUGCAAAGUCGCCUUUAGAAACAUCCAUCCAUUGAAUUUUUCUGCAAAAUGUUAAUAACAAUCAUCAAUGUAUUGAGAAAUAAAUUAGGACGCCCCACAUAGAUUCCAGUUUUAAAAGACUAAAUGUACACAUAAGCUUAUCGCACUUAGCCAGAGUUUUGAAGGCAGCUUGUAUUUUUUAAAUCUCAGACAUUUAGCUAGGUGUGCUUUCGAUCGCUGAACUGAGAGUUGAACACCAUGGUUGGAUCUAAAGAGCUAUCUGCAACCUUUAAAAUGAAUAUUGUAGGCUCUUAUGAAUAUUAUACUGAAUUUAAAGAAGUCUCAAAAGAACAAAAUAAGCCAUUCCACUUUACAGAAAACAGUCUAUACAUGGAGGAUAUUUAAAACAACUGCCAGAACACAUAACUCUACUUAUCACAGUCCACCCUGAAAGCAGAAAACAGGAUGCUAAAAAAAGUAUCAAAAAUAAACUAAACAAUCAGAGUUAACUUCAAUGAUAAGUGUACAAGAAGGAAAUACUUGCUCUCUAAGCAACAGACAAAGACUAGGACUUAUAUAGGAAUUAUAUUCUUUAAACAGAUUCAUCUAAAUCUGAGGUAUUUUGACAACAUUUUAAGAAAAGAACCAACUCGCCCCAACUGUGAAGCACAGAGGUGGAGGUGUCAUGUUUUGGGGAUAUGAAACGUGACCUGACCACUGCUCACCUAUCAUGAAUUGAACCAUGUCUCAACUAGUUCUUGAACAAAUUAUAGCUCAACAAGAACUGGACCCGGCAACAUGACGAUGACUUCAAUUCUGAGGUGAAUCAUAGCUCUUGAUGUCACUAUGUACCUGAAAACUAACACUUAAUAUCCUGAACAGACCUUCCAAAUGGUGGGAGUAGCUUAAUGCUGUGGGGAUGCUUUUCUUUCAGAGAAACACUGAAGCAAGUCAGAUUUGAUUGUUACAGCAAAGCGGAGCAUCUAAAGGAAUAUUUCUAAAGGGCAAUGCUGGAAGAACAUCUUAGAGUAGCUAAAAUAUUAUGACAGUGGCAUGGCUAUAAAUGCGUACCACUCUUCAGAUUAAUAUUUUUAAAACAAAAAUAAAAACCUUAAAUAUUCUGUCUUUAGUUUGCCAGUAAUGUGCUUCUUUCUGAUUGUCUUUUACAUAAAAUUCCAACAAAAUUCAUUGAAAUUUGUGUUUUUGUAAUGCAACAAAAUGUGAAAAAGGGGUAUUAAUACUUUCACAACUGUGACACUGUAACACUCAGCAAUACCAAAAGAAAAGCAGUGUUAUUCAUUUAGUUCUUUACACCUCAAUCUUAUUUGUUUUUCUAUGCCAGGUAGGACCUGGGGGGAGCAGCUGCCUUUUUCCCAUCCACAAUAACUGUGGUUACUUCACUGUGAAGUCACCAGAAUGUUUUUUUUUUCUUCCUUUCUCUGUACAGUUUCAUUAAAAUCAGUAUGAACAAGAUAGCAACAUACACGCAACAGAGCAGAGCAUAUAGAGUACAAAAAGCAAUCCCUUCUGUCCUUCUUGUUCCGUGUCAUUUGGUCUUGUUUAUUGUGUCCAAUAUCCAGUUUGUUGUACCACAAAACACACAUUUGUCAUAUGCCAAACACUGAAGCAAAGACUCACACCAGGACUUGGUGUGUUUUUUUGGGGGGGGUUUUUUGUAUUUCUAUUGUAGUUAUUUGUGUUUUGUUGAUAUUGUUUGUAAAAUUGUUCAACAGGCAGCAGCUUCAUAUAAUUAAAAU